rnacentral:rRNA from 1 species
ACUCCGGUUGAUCCUGCCGGACCCGACUGCUAUCGGAUUGGGAUUUAGCCAUGUUAGUUGUGCGUUCUCUGGCUACAGGGGACGCAGCGUACGGCUCAGUAACACGUAGUCAACCUGCCCUGGAGACGCGGACAAACCCGGGAAACUGGGGCUAAUCCGCGAUAGAUGACCUCAUCUGGAAGGAGAGGUCGUCCAAAAGGCGGCACGGGUAUGCUCCGUGCCUUUCGCUCCAGGAUGGGACUGCGGCCGAUCAGGCUGUUGGCGGGGUAAUGGCCCACCAAACCUGUAACCGGUACGGGCUUUGAGAGAAGGAGCCCGGAGAUGGACACUGAGACAAGGGUCCAGGCCCUACGGGGCGCAUCAGGCGCGAAAACUUCGCAAUGCGCGAAAGCGUGACGAGGCUAGUCCGAGUGCUUCCUGCUAAAGGGAGCUUUUCUCGGCUGUAAAUAAGCCGGGGAAUAAGGGGAGGGCAAGUCUGGUGUCAGCCGCCGCGGUAAUACCAGCUCCUCGAGUGGUCGGGACGAUUAUUGGGCCUAAAGCACCCGUAGCCGGUUCAGUAAGUCCUCUGUCAAAUCCAGCCGCUCAACGGCUGGCCCGCAGAGGAUACUGCUAGACUAGGAGGCGGGAGAGGCGGACGGUACUCCGCGUGUAGGGGUAAAAUCCUUUGAUCCGCGGAAGACCACCAGUGGCGAAGGCGGUCCGCCAGAACGCGCUCG